rnacentral:rRNA from 1 species
UACGUAGGGGGCAAGCGUUGUCCGGAUUUAUUGGGCGUAAAGAGCGUGUAGGCGGUUUGGUAGGUCCGUUGUGAAAACUCGAGGCUCAACCUCGAGACGGCGAUGGAAACCAUCAGACUAGAGUCCGGAAGAGGAGAGUGGAAUUCCUGGUGUAGCGGUGAAAUGCGCAGAUAUCAGGAAGAACACCCGUGGCUAAGGCGGCUCUCUAGUACGGUACUGACGCUGAGACGCGAAAGCGUGGGGAGCAAACAGG